GAUACUCAUUUUGGUUUUGCAGCGAGUCUGGUCAUGCCUGGAAAUUUGCUGACCAUAGUACUUGAGUCGGUAACUUUCGAAAGUGACACUGGUUUCACUGGUGUCUGUGUGCCCAAAGAUUUCAGGAUUCUGCUCGUCAGACAUACACUGCAGGUGUGAGUUCUCUUUAGGCUGGUGCUCAGGAGGCUUCGCAAGCGGGUCCGAGGAAGAACAGGAGCUUGUCAGUUGACUGCAGAACAGGAAGAUCUGGAGGCGAAAGUUGCAUACCUGGGCACACCGGAGUUCCAGCUGGAGGAUCCUUAUCUGUAACCGUCGAAUGGCUGAAAAAAAGGUCAGCCAAAACUUGAUAAACUGGGUGCCUUCCACCAUCACCUGGUCCCACCAAGAAAGAGUGGAGAGCCUGCCUUAGUUACUGAACUAUUUAGGACUCAGGUUGAGCAUGUUGCCAAAUUCAUGAAAUAGACUUCCUGAGUAGAGGACAGAGAAGGCUGCCAGGUCUUUGAUCACUCCUUUUCUAUUCCCACCGUGAUGGAGAUACCACAGGCUCUAAAUGGAACUGCGGACACGGAAGCCUUCACAGAAUCAAGAAACCAUGAUGCCCCCUUGUAGUCUGUGCAGAGUUUACUGGACUUAGGGCUGUUAGUGCUGUGACGCCUUUUGGUUAAAAGGCUACAUUAGGCUCCUCUGGAGACCUGGACUGUGAUGGCUGCCUUCAUGCAGUUCUCCUAAGCCCACCACACUUCUACUCUGGUGAUUCUUUGCAGGGCUCUGCCAGACAGAAUCAAAACGACAGAAACAUAAAUAACUCCUUUAGAACUGAACAUGUGUUUUUUUUGUCUUUUAAAAAUAAAAUAAAGUGCUUUUAAAUUAAAAUAGUUCUUGCCCUUAACAAAACUGGAACCUUGAAAUCUCUGUAUCUUGACACAUUUUUAACAGAAAAGCUUUGGGCUUUCACGUCCUUCAAGAGUUCAGAGUGAAUCUAGGCUGGGUUUGGCCUCGUUAUCAUGCUCGUGUUUGUACAUGAAUGUUAAAAGAAAAAGAGCGACAUCCAAGGAUGACCAAUAGGCAGUGUGCGACGUGACGGCUGACCAAUAGCGGCUCUCCACAAGGCCUUCUCUGAGUUCAAAGUCGAUCCUGUGUUCCAGUUCCACUGUAAAGACAAGAGGUAAGUGUUGGUUACCACGUGUUUAAUGCAGGCCGGAGACAGUGGAGAAGAGUCUAGCCAAGGGAAGUGACUUAGGCUGCCACAUUCUUCACUCUAAGUUUUUGGGGCAGUAGGAAAGCCAAAGUAGCCAGAUCUACUCUGCAGCCUGUCCCUUAGUGCACGUCAGCAAAGAAUAAUAAAGAAAGAAAGUCAAAUAAAUUUGCUUGCUAUCUUGGCAUAUUUUCGGAGUUUAAAAAAAGGAGGCUCAAUUUAAGUCUUAGAUGACUAUUUCUUAUCUGCCUUCCUUGAAGAAUUUCCUAUAUUCCUGGGGAAGUGGGUAUAUGUCUCCUCAGUUAGGGAGGCCCUACAGAAUACAUGAGGAUAUAUAUGUUUCACAACAACCAAAUUUUAUUAUUAUUAUUAUUACUACUAUUAUUACUUCGCAGCUCAAUAGCGUUCUUCUCCCCAUAAGGCUGAAUCCCUUAAAGACACCCCCUCCCCAAGUUUGCAUUUAUUAAGUGGGCACUAGCCUGUGCCCGGGACAUUGAUGAACUCAAAAGAAUUCACUGUAUAGCUGGAAAAGUUGCCCUGGGGGAAGAGCUGUGGGGGAAGGGCUUUACCUAUAAUGCGCCGCCCUCAACAAUCCUGUGAAUCCACGAAAGCCUUUCCAAAACCUAUAAAAGUCCUUGCAACAUUGGAGAGAAAGGAACAGCUUGAGGCUCUGUCAAAUCUCAACGGGUAAAUGUAACAGACCCUCAGAAACAACACUCUUGGGAAAGGACGGUCUGAGGGCCAGGAGGGAUGGCAGAGGCCUAGCGACCUAACUCCGCCAGGUUGUCCUCUACAUAUGGAGUUUACUUGCAUACACAAGUAUAGUACAUAAUCUUUUUAAAGUGGCAUUAUGCUACUCAGGAUCUCUUUUAAAACUGUCCAUGAGCCAUAUGAUAUUAUUCCACAAGACCUAUCUCAUGUCACUACUAGACAAUGAUUGAUAUCUGUUUGAUCACUGUCAAUCAAAGAUGUCUAAAGUAAAAAGUGGCAGUUAUACAUAAUAGUACUACUCUAGAAAAUAAUUUUAAAUAAAUGCAGUGUUAAUGCUAAUUAUAUACAGGGCUUGCUUUGUGGUAGUAGCAUCUGAGAGUCUGAAAUAUAAACACAGAGUAGUUACCUCUGGGCUCUGCCUGUCUGGUUUGUGAAGGUGUCUAUGUAUCUGCUUAGGGAAGGCACACAGAAGAUAGAAUGUCAAGGCUAUGGAACAUUUGGAUAGAACACUGACACAGCACCUUUUGCAAAGUUCUUCUAACUCUAAAGUUUUCACUUUAAGUCAGACAUUGCUGAGAUCCAUGUGCAUUUAUGUAGAAUGCCCUAACCCCUUAUUUUUGUACACCAUGAGCCUUCACAUGAGAUCUGUAGGCACAGUCACCCACAAAGACCAGACUAUGUAGAUGAGAAAACUGAAGUCUCAAAGAUGAUGAAGUAGAGUCAAGAUGAAGCAGGGUACAGGAAAGAGAAGAGGCAGGCACAUGACGAGAGGAUUCACUUUCCAACGCUGCCUGCGGCAUCUACUGCUCUAGUCCAGACUCUUCAGCACAAACUGCUCGAAAGUCAAAGACACACUUUCUUGUUACAAGAUUUAUUUGGCUCCACUUUGACUUUAAGGUCCUGAAAUUUGUUGUUAACAAGCUAUGACUGUCCUAAAUGACUGCUGUCAUCAUGGAGCUAUCUACUCUAUUCUGUGCUCUUGUCAUGCCUGUCACCUCUGGGGACACUAGCUGCUACCUAGACUGGCUCCACCUGUGCUAGGUAGCCAGCUUUCCCCAGCCAAUGUCCUCUGGGCCCUCAGUGCAGCCGCCUCACGUCUUGCUGGCUCUGAAGAAAGGAAGGAAGGAAUGAAGGAAGGAAGGUCAGCGGUGAGUGUGAGUGGAGUGGGCUUGUGUCCCAUCCUCUCUUCAUGUGGCUCACAGGAUCUCUACGGGAGAGGUUUACACGGCAGCACCACUGGGUUCUGCUGUACAACAUGCCCAUGGUCAAAGCAGGCUCUGAUGGACGUGUACCAGUUCUCCUGGCAUUAUCACACCCAGACUUGCUGGGACUGCAGAGGGAGAUGGACUCUCCUCCUCUCUCUAGCCCUCUGGGAUCAUGGGGGAAGGAGAAAAUAAAACCACCUUCCUUUCUUUCUUUCUCUAUGCUUCAGAUACCUAAAUGUAAAAUCUGUUAAAAAAACAAAACAAAAACCCUUUGCUCCCGAUCAGCCGUGCCCUAACACAGAUGCACGCCUAUGCUCAGGCCGCACCACAGCUCUGGGAGGCUCCUUCAGGGCUGCCUCUUGGUUGGACAGUGUAUCUCACUGGCUAGGCCAGCCUGGCCAGAGCGGCGCAGGGAUUCAGUCCCACGUCCCCACCCCAAUGACAUUACAGCUGUGUACUGCAGUGCCCAGCUUUUUAAAAAGUAAGCUUUGAGGUUUGAACUCAGGCUCUCUCAUAAACAUUGUACUGGCUAAGCUGUUUCUCUAGCUUAAUACGAGUUAUUUUAGUGGAAUUGUAUGUCUAUAUGACUAUCAGUUGGAGAGAUCCUUACAUAAGAUAAUUUCUUGAGGGGAAUUCACUGAGAUUGGUUACUAUAAACUCUUGCUCUGGAGGCACAAAAGGAGCCAGCUUGUUAUCCUCAACCACUGUUUAGGAACUAUACAAAGUAAUCUUUUUUGAUAACUGAAAAAGAUGCACAAAAAUUUAAAGGUGGGUAAAAUUACAAAGAAAACCCUGAACACGUUUUUUAACACCAAAGAUAGAAUUCACUAUU
ensembl:antisense